UACGAAGGGUGCAAGCGUUACUCGGAAUUACUGGGCGUAAAGCGUGCGUAGGUGGUUGUUUAAGUCUGCUGUGAAAGCCCUGGGCUCAACCUGGGAAUUGCAGUGGAUACUGGGCGACUAGAGUGUGGUAGAGGAUAGUGGAAUUUCCGGUGUAGCAGUGAAAUGCGUAGAGAUCGGUAGGAACACCAAUGGCGAAGGCAGCUUGCUGGGCAUUUUCUGACGCUAAGGCACGAAAGCGUGGGUAGCAAACAGG
rnacentral:rRNA from 1 species